UACGGAGGGUGCAAGCGUUAUCCGGAUUCACUGGGUUUAAAGGGUGCGUAGGCGGAUAGGUAAGUCCGUGGUGAAACCCUGCAGCUUAACUGCAGAACUGCCAUGGAUACUAUUUAUCUUGAAUAUCGUGGAGGUUAGCGGAAUAUGUCAUGUAGCGGUGAAAUGCUUAGAUAUGACAUAGAACACCCAUUGCGAAGGCAGCUAACUACGCGAUAAUUGACGCUGAUGCACGAAAGCGUGGGGAUCAAACAGG
rnacentral:rRNA from 1 species